UACAGAGGGUGCGAGCGUUAAUCGGAGUUACUGGGCGUAAAGGGCGCGUAGGCGGUAUUAUGUGUGUGAUGUGAAAGCCCCGGGCUUAACCUGGGAAGUGCAUCGCAAACUAUAGAACUAGAGUAGAUGAGAGGGUGAUGGAAUUUCCGGUGUAGCGGUGAAAUGCGUAGAGAUCGGAAGGAACACCAGUGGCGAAGGCGGCUACCUGGACAGAUACUGACGCUGAGGCGCGAGAGCGUGGGGAGCAAACAGG
rnacentral:rRNA from 1 species